rnacentral:lncRNA from 1 species
UUUUAUUUCAUGAAUAAAUUUUUUCAAUAUUUUUUUUUAUACUUUUUCAUCAUUUAUGAAAUCCAUAUUACAAAGUCCAAAAAUGUUAAUUAAAUUCUUUCUCAAUAUCAAGUAUCAUACAAAGUAACACAAUCCACUAACACAAAGUACUUUUUUUUAUAUAUUUUGAUUAGUUUCUUUUUGAGUUUUUUUUAUUUUUAUCGUAUAACUAUUUUCUUUCCUUUUUUUUAUUUUUAAAUAUUUUUUCCAUGCUUGCAUGGGUUAUACUGUUUAGCAAAUUUAAAUAUUUGCAUGAGCGGAGAGCAGAUUUCAUUUUUUUUUUUUUCUUUCUGUUUUGUACAGCUGGAAUCUUUAAUUGUCAUUUACUUCCUGAUGCUAACCACUUUUCUGUGAUCAAGAUUAUGUUAAUACAUACUUUCAUCCACCCACCCCUCUUAAUUAGUUAACAAAGGGUUUAAGCCAAAUGCAAACACAGUAGAAUCUGUACAAUUUGGCAUUUCAGGGUCCCAAAUAUAUGUUAGUUAUUUCAAAAUAUCAUUUUAUAUGUGACAGAUUUAAAACUAUACUUUUCUGUAAAAUGCUUAACAUUCCGGGCCUUGGCAUCCAGUUGAAAAGGAAUCAAUUUUUUUAUUAUGUUUAUUCUUAUUAAUAUUAUUAUAGUUGUUGUAUUUGUGGUUCCUUUUGUACUUGCCAUUUUAGAGGGCCAGAUUCAAACUGUGUCCGAGGUGCCAAAGAGAUGUUACUACCUUGACAAAACAUUCUCCAUAGCAUAUGACCUACAACAAAUAGUAUGAUCUUCUGGACAGCAUAAAUACUAAUGUUGUUACUAUUAUUAUUAUUAUUAUUCUCCCUCCUUUCCUCUUCUUCCUUUCAUUUUUUGAUGUAAAUCCCCCUACCCACAGAAAUUGUAAACUCUCAUUGGACCUACUCUAAGCAUGCACUUAUAGAUUGGAGAGCAAAAGUUGGGUGAGGGUUUGAGUCCUUAGUGGUCAGAGUGACCCUUAAUCUGUAGGGUUCCUUGAUUGGUCUUAGUUCGAGGUUCUCCUGUGUCUAAAGGACAACAUCAUAGUUGGUCUUAGUUCGAGGUUCUCCUGUGUCUAAAGGACAACAUCAUAGAUGUGUUCACAUACUUUCUACACUAAGUAAACUUUUUAAUCUCAUUUAUCCCUUCUUCUCCUUUUCUCCCCAUCACUUUUUAUGUAAACCCCACAAAAUCUGUAUACUGUCCUUGUCAUGAUUUUCUCAGUUGAUGCCCUUGUGGCAAAUAAAGUUAUUAUUAUCAUUAUUAUUGUAAAAUAUAAUGUGUCUUGAAUGGCACAACAAUGCAGAGUGGUCUAUAAUAAUUGUUAUAAUUAAAUUAUCCAUAGUCUUAUAUAAUAAUAUUUUGGAAUAUAGAAAUUCCCUCUUCAGAUAUCUCUAGGAAUUGAUCAAGUCACUACAAUAAUCGGCUUUCCAACGGUUACUGAAAUUUUUUUCAUCUCUCGGAAGCAUCUCUGAGGUAGUCUCAUUAAGCUCCUUUCGGAAUUCCUCAUGAGAAGUGUGUGAGGAUGGCCAUGUCACAAACUCGUGUGUGUUGGCACAUCCAUAGCAUUGCUUCUAAGUUAUGUAUUAUACAUGCAGUUUCUUUCAUUUUAAAUAUAUAAUACAUGAGCAUGUUAUCAAAAAUGAACCUACACGCAUCCAGAUGUAGCUAAAUAAUAUACUGAUUGCCAACCUUCAGCCUGUUGUUAAUUUGGGGCCCCAGUCCGUCUAUGAGGAUAGCUUCCUUAAUUCUUAGAUUACCCAAAUUUCUUUCACUGGCCGAUUAUUAUUAUUAUCAUUAUUACUAUUAUUAUUAUUACUAUUAUUAUUAUUAUUUACAUAUGUUUCCUCUAAUAUAGACAUAUGAGUGAUUUGAUUUUAGUUCAGCCAAUGGUAGAGUCUGCGUGAAAGAAACAGGAAGAUGACCCUCAAUGUAUUGCUGCCGUUCAUUUUAGUGAAUGGGAAGAGAAGGAAAAAAGCAUUGUGUGACUGUUGUGGGAGUGAACUAGAUGAUCCUAGCUGAGAACUGUGAAGUAGUGGACUUCAUUCAUUUCUUUCUCAGUUGAUAUAUAUAUAUGGCACAUGGGUUAAGGUGAUUAUUUGACCGUUUAUGCUCAGUGGUAUCCAUCAUAGGAUUGCCAUUGGCCUAUAGCGUUCUAGAUGUAAUCCUGUGCACUGUGGUGGGUUGAGGGGUAGCUACCAACAGGAAUUGAACUCGGAACUGCAAGCCAAACUUUUGUUACUCCACUUUUUCAAUGUUAACCCACAACUUUUACGUUACCCUUCUUUUCAAUGUUAAACCCACCCCAACCAUCACGUGUUACUCCACAGUACUCUGUGACCCUAAUUUUCGAUGUUAGCCCAGUUCUAUGUUGCCUCAGUUACCCUACUUUUCAAUGCUGACCCAACUUUUCACUGAUAACCCACAGAUCUAUGUUUACCAACACUUUUCAAUGUCAACCCUCCAACAAUUCUGUUACCCCAGUUUUCACUCACUUUUCUCAGUUUGCCCCUUCCUAGAAUGUUUCCCCACCUCUCAUCAGUAAUCUGCACUGUAAUCCUAGGUUAAUUAAACUGCUCUCUAAUGCUUUAAGGGUGGUUGAGGGAUGGAUGCUGAUACUUGAUAGGAAAAUAUACACGCAAUGAAAUUAUGAAAGUGGUGGUGGUGGUGGUGAAGGUGGCAGUGGUCUGGGUGGGAGACAAGCCUCUCUAUAUACAGCUAAGAAUGCCUGUAACUGGCAGAUGAAGGGAAAUAGUGCAGAGUUGCCUUUAAAAAAAAGUAAGCUUUGUGGGUGAUAUGCCUUUGCCUUUUGGCUCCCAGAUAGCUAUUAUAUAUGAUAAAAAAAAAGAAGAAAAAGACAAAAUAACUGGUAUUUGCAUCCUUGACCAUUUAGGUUUAUACUGGCCAUUAGACUUUGGAUAGGCCAAGGGUUAUCAAACAAAAUUAAGCAUGGACUAAUGAAAACAAGGGGCCAAUAUUGAGGAUCAAAACAGUGCUCUUGCAGCAUUCCUUCUCAAGCCUUCUGUCCUUUGAGAAAAUCCCUAGAAUCAGUCCCCGAGAAGAGGUCAAAAUAGUGCCACAUGGUGCAAGAGUGCUCCAGCAACAUUAAACGCUGGCUGUCUGAAGGAAGACCUGAACACAGAACUCUGGAGAUCACAAUGGAAUCAUAUUCUUCCCUCCUCUUUCUGUAUUUUAUACACACACACUCCCCCCCACGUUCCUCCUUCCCUCUCUCUCUCUCUCUCUAUCGGUGAUCAUGUAGUUGUGACAGCCAGGUCAUCUAGUACACAAUAAUAAAUCAUAUAUAAUUCUUUCAGAACCCUCUUCCAGGAAGACAAUCUGGCUAAUUGUUUAGGUAGGGCCCAUCCUAACUGAAGUAAAUUACCAUUUGCUUUCAUCUUCCCCACCUCUCUCUAUCCCUCUUUCUCCACACAUACACACACACACACACAAAUAGCCAAGUAUGAUUCAUAUAUAUACAUACAUACAUACAUACAUACAUACAUACAUACAUAUAUAUAAUCAUUGUUUAACGUCCAUUUUCCAUGCUGGCAUGGAUUGGACAGUUUGACAAGAGCUGGCCAGCUCCUAUAUAUACAUAUGUAUGUAUAUAUAUAUACACACACACACUUAUACACUCUGAGACAAUAUCAUUAUUCUUUGGAGCUGAGAAAUCCAACAUGGCAGGCUACUCAAGAUUUUUACAUCCUUUCCAUGUAGGUUAUUUUAUUUCAUUUUAUUUUAAGCCUGAGAGGGAGUGCUUAUAAACAUCCAUUGAUGUUCUUGUUUUUCCAGCUGUAUAUGAUCUUCCCACUGAUAGCUAUUCUCCUGUAAGUGUGUGAAGUGGAGCACAUAAAAUCAUGUGCCCUGGUCAGGAAUGCAUAAAAACAAUGGUCAUAAUAGUAUCAGCUUUGAUCUUAUCACCACAUGGUGUGUACUCCACCCAGAUACACAUACACACACACAUAUAUAUGCACACAUACAUACAUAUAUAUACAUGAUAAAUAUACAUAUAUAUAUAUGUAUAUAUAUGUAUGUGUACAUAUAUGUGUGUGUGUGUGU